UAAAGAAUAAACAGGAAGAAUGGACACAAAUAUAGUGAAAAAGGACAGCCCUGACAAAUCUUUUAUUAACUAAAAAGAAAGCAUUUGUAUCAACACUCUUGAGUUCACUUUUGACUUAUUAAAUCCAUACUCCUACAAGACUCUAAUGCCCAAGGUAUGAGGCUGCCAACUGAUGAACUAACCAAUCAGAAAAAGCAUUCUUCAAAUUUUCUGGCGGAUCAGCCAAUCGGUUAGAUGUCUUGCAGACAACAUGUGUCCGACCUUGGAUUUUUCUCUGUAGGAGCAGUCUGAAGCCUGCCACAUUCCUGCUGCUGUUGAAGUAGGAGAAAGAAGGGACAUGAGGAUUCGAGUGCUAUCAUUACAAAAAGAAAUCCCAAGCCAUGAUGGUUGGUUGCUUCAUCCAAAUUUGCCAAAAUGACUGCUGCCCUGCUUUCAUUGGAAAAUUACAAAGCAUUUACAGAAAAGAAAAUGUCUUCCUCAGUGGGAAUUCUCAACCCAAAAGGGCCAAAUUACGACAUCUUAAGGUAGUGAAACAAUGGAAAAAAUGUAUCACAUAACUUUGAUAGGAGAGCAGGUUGUCACCAACAGCAAGGUCUUGUAAACAAUGAUUCAUUCUCGCUGUGUAGAAGAAGGCAGAGCUGCUGUUCACCCCCACGCAGGAGUGUCACUGGGACUGAAAUCGAAAGACAAUCACAAGUUUGUUUGCUGGUAGACUCCCAGGGAGUUGA
rnacentral:lncRNA from 1 species